rnacentral:rRNA from 1 species
GACGUAGGGCGCGAGCGUUGUCCGGAUUUAUUGGGCGUAAAGAGCUCGUAGGCGGCUUGUCGCGUCGUCCGUGAAAACCCACAGCUCAACUGUGGGCUUGCGGUCGAUACGGGCAGGCUAGAGUUCGGUAGGGGAGACUGGAAUUCCUGGUGUAGCGGUGAAAUGCGCAGAUAUCAGGAGGAACACCGGUGGCGAAGGCGGGUCUCUGGGCCGAUAUUGACGCUGAGGAGCGAAAGCGUGGGGAGCGAACAGG